ACCCCUUCACAUAAUACAGGAACCAGCGAUCACCCAAUGAAUUUCACAGGCAGCAGGUUUAAAACAACCAUGAGGAAUACUUCUUCACACAAUGCACAGUCAACCUGUGGAACUCAUUGCCAGGGGAAUAUGUGAAGACCAAAAGAAUAACUAGAU